CUUCAUAGUUUUAUUUUUCAAGGAGGGGCAGCACGACGGUCGGAGCAGGGGGUGAGGCGACCGCUACAUAGCUAACAAGAUCAAGCUUCGAAUUGUGACUGUACAAUGCAAAAUGACUGGAUACAGUUGUGCAAAACGACAUCCUAAUUCUAAAAUUUGUAGCAUUGCUUUUCCUUCUAGCAACUAAAAUCAACCAUGCGUAUUUAUUCGACCAUGACAAACUUUCAGUCCUAAACAUUUUUUUCUCGAAUACGCAUGAGUGUGCGUAUCAUUCAUUAAAGGAAGGAGGGAAAAAGAGCCCAGGAUCCACAGUUUUACAAAAUAUUUACAUGCGGGGCUAGGCCCGCCCAGCG
rnacentral:lncRNA from 1 species